GUGACUCUGAUCAUUCUAAACUAUGUUUUGAUUUAAUAUAGUAAUGGAUCCCGAUGGAACUGCAGCUGAUGAUGCUGCUUGUAAUGCGCCGGCUCCCGCACAAGGGACCUCGCCUGUAGAAAGUAAACCUGAGACAUUGAGACAGGGAGAUGAGGCUCGGGAUGCCUUUCUCCAAAUGAUGAACAAUUGGUAUACUGAGUUUAUUCGAGCAAACCCAAAUGCUCAACCUCCUC
rnacentral:lncRNA from 1 species